rnacentral:rRNA from 1 species
UACAGAGGUCUCAAGCGUUGUUCGGAUUCAUUGGGCGUAAAGGGUGCGUAGGUCGUGAUGCAAGUCUGGUGUGAAAUCUCGGAGCUCAACUCCGAAAUUGCACCGGAUACUGCGUGACUCGAGGACUGUAGAGGAGAUCGGAAUUCACGGUGUAGCAGUGAAAUGCGUAGAUAUCGUGAGGAAGACCAGUUGCGAAGGCGGAUCUCUGGGCAGUUCCUGACACUGAGGCACGAAGGCCAGGGGAGCAAACGGG